ACGAUAUGCUUAUUAUUUAUUGAAAUUUUACUGAGUUAUUAUUUAUUAAAAUUUUACUGAGUUAUUUUUUAAUUUUUGUUUCCUAGAGAAAGGCCCAGUGAAAAUACAUAUUUAUUCGAAAUUAGCAGCAGAAUCACUUAAAAAUAAUUGAUGAAUCACUCUAGUAUCUUAGCCACGGCUGGCAGAAUGUUUUUUUGUAUUGUCAAGAUCUAAAGAAAAGAAAAACGUUAUAUAAUCUACCGCCAAUUUUUUUAUAGUACAUAUUUAAAUACGGCAGCCUCAAUGCAAACAGAUCGAACGUCAUCUGCACCUGAGAUAAUGUGAAUAGAACAUGAAUAGAUGUGGGUAUAGCUUUACAUAACAAAUAUGUAUAUCUGUCCGUCGUAAUAUUAUAUGUACAUACCACGGAUGACAGGCAUACAGAUAUUUUUGUUAUGUCAAGAUUGUAAAUAUCUACACACAUAUAAAAUUGACUUCGAAAAUUUUACAAUAACAUGGCUAGAAUUUUAGUAAUUGAGCCUUAUUAUGGUGGAAGCCACAAACAGCUCUUAGACACAAUUUUAGAAGGCAUUAAUCCAAUAGAAUACGAAGUAUUUAGCUUACCAGCUAAAAAAUGGCAUUGGCGACAACGGACAAGUGCCCUAUACUUUUCACAAAUGAUUCCUAUAGAACAUCAAUAUUUAAUAUUAUUUACAAGCUCGGUCUUAAAUUUAGCUGAACUACUAGGCGUCCGUCCUGAUUUGGUAAAGUGCAAAAAACUAGUUUACUUCCAUGAAAAUCAGCUGGUGUACCCCGUACGGGAAGUAAAAGAACGUGAUUGUCAGUAUGGCUUAAAUCAGAUUAUGACUUGUCUGGCAGCAGAUGAAGUGAUUUUUAACUCAAAUUUUAAUCGUACAUCAUUUUUAAAUAAUAUAACACCUUUUUUAAAUAUUCAGUCAGAUUUUAAACUCAAAAAUCUAAAAGAAAAAAUAUCUCCAAAAUGUGAGGUGUUAUAUUUUCCUAUUAAAUUUCAUCGUAUGCCAACUCGUAACGUGACAGGAUCAAAUGGCCAAAACGGUUUAGUAAGUUAUGAAGAAAUAUCACCUUCUCUACAUUUAAUUUGGCCUCAUCGCUGGGAACAUGAUAAAAAUCCACAAUUAUUAACAGAAGUUCUACUAGAAUUGCAAAAAAGGCAAGUUGAUUUCAAAGCAACUAUCUGUGGCGAAAAUUUUGUAACGAUUCCCGAAUGUUUUGAAGGUAUAAAAGAAAAAUUGGGCCCAAAGUUAAUUAAUUUUGGAUUUCUACCAAGAGAUGAUUAUGUAAAAGCCCUGAUGACGGGAGACAUAGUCAUUUCCACAGCUGGGCACGAGUUUUAUGGAGUUUCCAUGUUGGAAGCGGCAUAUUGUGGUUGUAUGCCUAUUGCACCAAAUAAAUUAGUGUAUCCAGAAAUAUAUCCUUCCGAAAAUUUAUACAAUACAUCAAAUCAACUUAUAAAAAUGUUAUACAAUUGGUGUAAAAAUCCGAGUUUGUUUCGAAAACACAGAAAUAAAUAUUUUGAAACAUUUCAGUUUAACAAAUUUUCAGCACAAGAGUUAAUACCAAAAUAUAUGGAAAAAUUUAAAAUAUAAUUAAAAAUUUAAUCUAAGAUAUUUUAUACUUUGUUAAGUUUUAGCAAAAGGUAGGAACUUCAGUUUUCAUGUUAAGUAGAUUUUCAUUUGUAUCACUUCGUAUAUUAAAAAAUUGAAAUUUUGCUAAAUCCAAAAAGAAAUAGCUCAAAAUUUAAAUAUUUAUGUACAUACCUACAUAUUUUACAUUUAAAGCCAUUCAACAAACAUAAUGGUACUAAUGCCACAUACAUAUAUCUCUUAGGCCCCCAAGCUGAAAAUAUUUUCCGAAAUUUUAAAUCGGAAAAAAUACAAAAACAAUUCUUAAUGUUUUAUAUUUUCGAAAUAGGUCGUUUGAAAUAUUUUUUUUAUUUUUUGUUGUGAAAUUAUUGAGUAUUCUAAUUCUCAUUUUAUUUAGUUAUAAGUUUUACAAGCCAUCUAGAUUAUAAUAAUUACCCUUUUUUGCUUUUUUUUUUCAAUUUUUACUACUUCUUAUUCAAAAAUUUUACUCUGUAAAGGGUAAUUCCCUUCUUUUUUUAAAUUUACUCUUCUAUUUGGAAGACUACAAAGAUUGUCUGUGCUAAAAAUUGCAUUUUUUUUUUAAAUGCAUUUUUCAAAUGGAGUUUAUCAACUAAUUUUUUUGUAAUUUAAAUUUUAAAUUUCAAGAAAUAUGUAGAAUCAGUAGAGCCAAAAGUAUUGAUCAAUUUCCUUCACGCAAAUAAAUUCCGACACACCUUCCAUUUAAACUCCAUAUAAAUUUGUUUUUCAAGAGAGUAACUCUUGCUUGAUGGUCUGAUAGAUAUAAGUAUAUGGCAUUAUAUGUACGUACAUAUGAUUUUUUAUAUAUUUUUUAUUCGAUUUUUACAACAUAGGACUUGAAACGCCAAACAGAGAAAAAAAAAGUUUCAACUCAAAUAUUUUUAUUACUUUUUUGUUGCUAGUGAAGUUAUUCUCUAUUGUAAAGGUCUGUCCGGGAUAAAACUUGAAAAAACUUUAAAAAGAGAAACAGUGUCAUUUCAAAGAAAGAAAAAAAAUGUAAUUUCAAAGAAAAAUGAACCAGAAGGAAAAGUUGAAAACUUUUAG